AAAGCUGAUAGCGUGACCGUGCUUGCACGAGGAGCGGUAUCAGCUUUAGGGAUUCUAAAACCACAUGAGCAUAUAGUGGAAAUUUCCUGAAAUUUCCACGGAUGCGAAUGGGGUUUAGGAUUGCGGGAGCUGCUUGCAGCGAAGCAAUCCGUGAUA
rnacentral:sRNA from 1 species